GAUGAACGCUGGCGGCGUGCCUAAUACAUGCAAGUCGAGCGAACAGUUGAGAAGCUUGCUUCUCUGAUGUUAGCGGCGGACGGGUGAGUAACACGUGGGUAACCCACCUAUAAGACUGGGAUAACUCCGGGAAACCGGGGCUAAUACCGGAUAAUAUUUUGAACCGCAUGGUUCGAUAGUGAAAGACGGUUUCGGCUGUCACUUAUAGAUGGACCCGCGCCGUAUUAGCUAGUUGGUAAGGUAACGGCUUACCAAGGCGACGAUACGUAGCCGACCUGAGAGGGUGAUCGGCCACACUGGAACUGAGACACGGUCCAGACUCCUACGGAGGGCAGCAGUAGGGAAUCUUCCGCAAUGGGCGAAAGCCUGACGGAGCAACGCCGAGUGAGUGAUGAAGGUCUUCGGAUCGUAAAACUCUGUUGUUAGGGAAGAACAAAUUUGUUAGUAACUGAACAAGUCUUGACGGUACCUAACCAGAAAGCCACGGCUAACUACGUGCCAGCAGCCGCAUAA
rnacentral:rRNA from 1 species